rnacentral:rRNA from 1 species
AAAACUAGCAUAUCAAUAAGCGGAGGAAAAGAAACCAACAGGGAUUGCCCUAGUAACGGCGAGUGAAGCGGCAACAGCUCAAAUUUGAAAUCUGGCCCCCGGGUCCGAGUUGUAAUUUGUAGAGGAUGCUUUUGGUGCGGUACCUUCCGAGUGCCCUGGAACGGGACGCCAUAGAGGGUGAGAGCCCCGUCUGGUUGGACGCCAAUCCUUUGUAAAGCUCCUUCAACGAGUCGAGUAGUUUGGGAAUGCUGCUCUAAAUGGGAGGUAUAUGUCUUCUAAAGCUAAAUAUUGGCCAGAGACCGAUAGCGCACAAGUAGAGUGAUCGAAAGAUGAAAAGCACUUUGAAAAGAGAGUUAAAAAGUACGUGAAAUUGUUGAAAGGGAAGCGCUCAUGACCAGACUUGGGCUUGGUUGAUCAUCCAGGGUUCUCCCUGGUGCACUCUUCCGGCCCAGGCCAGCAUCAGUUCGCUGUGGGGGAUAAAGGCUUCGGGAAUGUGGCUCCCUCGGGAGUGUUAUAGCCCGUCGUGUAAUACCCUGUGGCGGACUGAGGUUCGCGCAUUCGCAAGGAUGCUGGCGUAAUGGUCAUCAGCGACCCGUCUUGAAACACGGACCAAGGAGUCGUCUUCGUAUGCGAGUGUUCGGGUGUCAAACCCCUACGCGUAAUGAAAGUGAACGCAGGUGAGAGCUUCGGCGCAUCAUCGACCGAUCCUGAUGUUCUCGGAUGGAUUUGAGUAAGAGCAUACGGGGCCGGACCCGAAAGAAGGUGAACUAUGCCUGUAUAGGGUGAAGCCAGAGGAAACUCUGGUGGAGGCUCGCAGCGGUUCUGACGUGCAAAUCGAUCGUCAAAUAUGGGCAUGGGGGCGAAAGACUA